rnacentral:rRNA from 1 species
CGAAGAAGCGAGCCUGCGAAGGCAAGCGGAUCUCUUAAAGCUGUUCUCAGUUCGGACUGCAGUCUGCAACUCGACUGCACGAAGCUGGAAUCGCUAGUAAUCGCGGAUCAGCACGCCGCGGUGAAUACGUUCCCGGGCCUUGUACACACCGCCCGUCACACCAUGAGAGUCGGGAACACCCGAAGUCCGUAGUCUAACCGCAAGGAGGGCGCGGCCGAAGGUGGGUCCGGUAAUUGGGGUGAAGUCGUAACAAGGUAAC